UUAUAAGAGACAGCAGUCGCCACGGUAAAACGGAGGGGGCUAGCGUUGUUCGGAAUUACUGGGCGUAAAGCGUACGUAGGCGGCUUUGUAAGUUAGAGGUGAAAGCCUGGUGCUCAACACCAGAACUGCCUUUAAGACUGCAUCGCUUGAACGUCGGAGAGGUGAGUGGAAUUCCGAGUGUAGAGGUGAAAUUCGUAGAUAUUCGGAAGAACACCAGUGGCGAAGGCGGCUCACUGGACGACUGUUGACGCUGAGGUACGAAAGCGUGGGGAGCAAACAGGAUUAGAUACCUCCGUAGUCCCUGUCUCUUAUAC
rnacentral:rRNA from 1 species